rnacentral:rRNA from 1 species
GUGUCAGCAGCCGCGGUAAUACGGAGGGUGCAAGCGUUAUCCGGAUUCACUGGGUUUAAAGGGUGCGUAGGCGGGCAGGUAAGUCCGCGGUGAAAUCCUGGGGCUUAACCCCAGAACUGCCGUUGAUACUAUCUGUCUUGAAUAUUGUGGAGGUGAGCGGAAUAUGUCAUGUAGCGGUGAAAUGCUUAGAUAUGACAUAGAACACCAAUUGCGAAGGCAGCUCACUACGCAGUUAUUGACGCUGAGGCACGAAAGCGUGGGGAUCAAACAGGAUUAGAUACCCGCGUAGUCC